GACCAUACGUGCCCGCUGCCGGCAGCUGGGGGGCGGGGCGGCCGGCGGUGGCGGCUUCAAGUCCAGGGUGGCCAGCUUGCUUCCUGAGAGAGCAAAGAAUCUCGACACGGGCGCAGAUCUGCUGCUCUGGAGCGGAAAGAUACGGGGAGGCAGACGUCGGAUGGAGAGAGGGGCAGAGCAAGGCUCACCGAAUGGCUGUAUGGCGCAAAUCCCCUACCCUCCACCCACUGCCUCCACCCUCUCUCAGUCGUUGAGGAAGCAGGGCGGCCACCUCUGUUGGACUCCCUUCCCUGGUCAACGACCGACUGGUGAGGGCUGACACGGUGGCGCCCUUCCUCCGGCAAUACCGUAGUAGGACGACGACGGUCAAGGUCAGCCUUGCUUGAUGCCCCCAUCCCCUUGCUGGCCACCAUGCUCCGCCUCCGACAGUCCAGCUCAUACAGUCUGGCCAGUCCGCUCCCCAGCUCUACGGCCUUUAGUCCAGCAGCAGACUACACUCAAGCCUAUAAGCUUUGCUUUUGUUUAUACAAAGGAAGCAAGAUUUCCCUACUGCCAUGUUAGUAAUACUUACAGUUACAGUAGACAAGGAGCUCGACUUUGGAUUAUAGACUAGCUAAAAAACAUUUCAAACAAAAUUACUCAUUUGACAACAUCUCAAACAAUACAUAAUAUUUUGAUCUUGUGUGAACACAUAUUGUCCUUCCUGUAUGAUGUCGUCAAUCAUCGUAACAGUUGUAUUCAUCACAAUCAGGGGCAUGUACAACUAUAUUUAUGUUGUAGUUACACUUAAAGAAGAGAACCAGAUUAGGUCGGAAGAAGUUGAAUGAUCUCGUUUAUGUGAUGUUCAACAAGAGGGUGGACUAAGAAGUAUUCUGAGAGGGAAAAGGAUCCACUGUUUGCAAAGUACAUUGAAGAUGUUGUUUAAAACCUUGGUUGUUGUUGCAUAUAUCUUGGUUGCCGCCGCACAUCGCCAUUGAGUGAUCCACGUGCCUCUUGGACACCGCCAUGAAGUUCCUUUUGCCAUGAACGCAGAGGCCUCUGCACAUUGAACUACAAAUGGUUGAACAGGGAAAAGUAGAAGCAUCAGAAAAUAAGUAUGGCACUACCAUUCUACAGAAGUUCAUUCAAAAAUGAAUCCUAGAAUAUGUGAAACAUGUCUCAAGUGUCUCAAGCCACCUUGCAUGGUUGUAAACUGUAGAAAGUAUCAGGUCUAAGAACUGAGGGUGCUAGCAGAAGAGGAGCUCAAAUCUCUUACUAUUUCUUAUCAUAUAAGGCUACAUCAUCAGGACUCACACCUCGUCAGGUCUAAGGUCUUUCAUUUCCUGCUGUUUUGAAGGAAUCCAUGAGUUGCCGCCGCUGUUCAAGUUAGCUCUAACUCAAUUUCUAGCGCUCCAUUAUUGCGAUUCAGAGACUCCAUCAUGGGUGUUGUAUAUUAAAAGUAUGAGUUUAGAGGAGACUUGCUUUGUGUUGUUGCCCUAUUAUUUUCUAGAUGUGUCUGAUCUCAGGCAGCUUAUCUUGAAGAGCAAUGGUCGCGGCGUAGGGAUGAUAUAUCUCUCUCCAAGGCUUGACGAAGGUUUGUUUCACGCCGAGUAGCUUUAUUUAAGUCAUGAUUUGUCUAUACAACAACAUUCAAUAAUGUAAAAUUCUCGGAAUUUAGGUUAACAACUCAGCUUACCACCUGACUUGUUUGAUAUGAUAAAAUCAUGCGUACACCA